rnacentral:rRNA from 1 species
AGGACGAACGCUGGCGGCGUGCUUAACACAUGCAAGUCGAGCGGUAAGGCCUUUCGGGGUACACGAGCGGCGAACGGGUGAGUAACACGUGGGUGAUCUGCCCUGCACUCUGGGAUAAGCCUGGGAAACUGGGUCUAAUACCGGAUAUGACCUGCUCUCGCAUGGGGGUGGGUGGAAAGAUUUAUCGGUGCAGGAUGGGCCCGCGGCCUAUCAGCUUGUUGGUGGGGUAAUGGCCUACCAAGGCGACGACGGGUAGCCGACCUGAGAGGGUGACCGGCCACACUGGGACUGAGACACGGCCCAGACUCCUACGGGAGCAGCAGUGGGAAUAUUGCACAAUGGGCAAAGCCUGAUGCAGCGACGCCGCGUGAGGAUGAAGGCCUUGGGUAGUAAACCUCUUUCAGCAGGACGAAGCGACAAGUGACGGUACUGACAAGAAGAAGCACCGGCUAACGUACGU